rnacentral:rRNA from 2 species
CGGGAGGCAGCAGUAGGGAAUCUUCCACAAUGGACGAAAGUCUGAUGGAGCAACGCCGCGUGAGUGAUGAAGGUUUUCGGAUCGUAAAACUCUGUUGUUAAAGAAGAACAAGUGUUAGAGUAACUGUUAACACUUUGACGGUAUUUAACCAGAAAGCCACGGCUAACUACGUGCCAGCAGCCGCGGUAAUACGUAGGUGGCAAGCGUUGUCCGGAUUUAUUGGGCGUAAAGCGAGCGCAGGCGGUUUUGUAAGUCUGCUGUGAAAGCCCUCAGCUCAACUGAGGAAGUGCAGUGGAAACUACAAAACUUGAGUACAGAAGAGGAAAGUGGAACUCCAUGUGUAGCGGUGAAAUGCGUAGAUAUAUGGAAGAACACCAGUGGCGAAGGCGGCUUUCUGGUCUGUUACUGACGCUGANGCUCGAAAGCAUGGGUAGCGAACAGGAUUAGAUACCCUGGUAGUCCAUGCCGUAAACGAUGAAUACUAGGUGUUGGAGGGUUUCCGCCCUUCAGUGCCGCAGCUAACGCAUUAAGUAUUCCGCCUGGGGAGUACGACCGCAAGGUUGAAACUCAAAGGAAUUGACGGGGGCCCGCACAAGUGGUGGAGCAUGUGGUUUAAUUCGAUGCUACGCGAAGAACCUUACCAGCUCUUGACAUCUUCUGCCAACCCAAGAGAUUGGGCGUUCCCUUCGGGGACAGAAUGACAGGUGGUGCAUGGUUGUCGUCAGCUCGUGUCGUGAGAUGUUGGGUUAAGUCCCGCAACGAGCGCAACCCUUAUUAUUAGUUGCCAGCAUUUAGUUGGGCACUCUAGUGAGACUGCCGGUGAUAAACCGGAGGAAGGUGGGGACGACGUCAAAUCAUCAUGCCCCUUAUGAGCUGGGCUACACACGUGCUACAAUGGAUGGUACAACGAGUCGCGAAACCGCGAGGUCAAGCUAAUCUCUUAAAGCCAUUCUCAGUUCGGAUUGCAGGCUGCAACUCGCCUGCAUGAAGUUGGAAUCACUAGUAAUCGUGGAUCAGCAUGCCACGGUGAAUACGUUCCCGGGCCUUGUACACAC